UACGUAGGGCGCAAGCGUUAUCCGGAAUUAUUGGGCGUAAAGAGCUCGUAGGCGGUUUGUCGCGUCUGCUGUGAAAACGCGAGGCUCAACCUCGCGCCUGCAGUGGGUACGGGCAGACUGGAGUGCGGUAGGGGAGAUUGGAAUUCCUGGUGUAGCGGUGGAAUGCGCAGAUAUCAGGAGGAACACCGGUGGCGAAGGCGGGUCUCUGGGCCGAUACUGACGCUGAGGCACGAAAGCGUGGGGAGCAAACAGG
rnacentral:rRNA from 1 species